rnacentral:rRNA from 1 species
AUGGAGGGUCUUCUGCAUUGGGAUUUCAACCCCGGCCUAGCGGUCGCAGAUCAGGUGCAUCGAUGUUUCGGCUCUACGGUUCACUUUUCCUCCGCCCAUGGGACCAAGGAAUUUUUCUUGGUCGUAUACUUCUCGUCGGCUUCCUUCGUUCUAUUGGAGGAGUCAGUUGGUUUGGCGCUACAAUGCUGUAUUGGAGGCUUACCCUCGAGCCUCAAUGUCCAAACCCUAAGCGAUCGGUGCUUCCGCUUCUUGGUGGCAUCUAACAAAGUUGGUCAUUUAAUAUACCACCUCAAAGAUCGCAUCUGGACGGACUUCAUAUGUCACUUUCAAGUCUUUUGA